AGUUGGAGAAGAAAAAAAGGCUAAAACUUUGACUUUUACUUCCCUAUAAUAGGAAAAUGAUAGGGAAGUUUUUGGAGUUGAUCUUAGUUGCUCUUCAUCCCGAGACUGAUCGGAGAGGCACACAAAGAAAGAAGUGGGAGAGGGAUCUGGGUUUUGACUACAGCCCCAAAUUUCUAAUCGGAGAGGCACACAUACUGAAGGUUGCUGAUAACUUGCUUCAUGAAGCCACUAGGAAUCUAGAAAGUUUGAUAUUUUUCUCCCAGACCCUUAGAAGCAAGGGAUAUAUACUUUCACACAACAGCUGGCCUUUAAAAGAUUAGGUACUUCCAGUACAAUAACACCAUUGCGGCUGGAAGGCUUGCUGACCGAAGGGUACACAUCAAGACUUUGGUUGGUAAAUGUUUCCCUUGAUAUAUUUAAUGAAUGACAUGAUCAGAUUGAAUUUGGUGCUGCAUAUUCACCUUCUUGCCUUUGCAAUAGUUUACAUUAUUCUUUGGCUAUACAAAAUACUGUACUUGAUGUACAGUAAUAAUCCCCCAGAAUCUCCUGCACUGCUUUAAUUUUUCAGGUAAAAUGUUGCAUUUGGAAAAGGAAAAAAUGGACUAAAAUAUCAUGUCACUUUUUGUGUAAGUAAAAAUGGAGGCGGCAAAUUUUUGGACAACCUCCACAGCUAAUCAUCACUAGGCUAACAACCUCUCAGCAACUGAUGUCACUUUUGAUAUAGUCACUAGGUUAGCCUAUAAUAGUAACUCUAACAGUUUUCCUAUAAUUUUUGUAUUAUAGAGAACCAAAAGUCAAACUUUUAGCCUAUUUUUCUUCUCC